rnacentral:rRNA from 1 species
AGACAGCAGUAGCCGCGGGAAUACGAAGGGGGCUAGCGUUGUUCGGAUUUACUGGGCGUAAAGGGCGCGUAGGCGGACUGAUAAGUCAGGGGUGAAAUCCCAAGGCUCAACCUUGGAACUGCCUUUGAUACUGUUUGUCUUGAGUUCGAGAGAGGUAAGUGGAACUGCGAGUGUAGAGGUGAAAUUCGUAGAUAUUCGCAAGAACACCAGUGGCGAAGGCGGCUUACUGGCUCGAAACUGACGCUGAGGCGCGAAAGCGUGGGGAGCAAACAGGAUUAGAUACCCCUGUAGUCCCUGUCUCUUAUAC